GACCAAGAGAGUGGGAAAACCGAUACUAUUUAUAUGAAGUUGACGUGUAUCAUCCAACUAAGGCACAAAUUCUGAAAUGUUUAGCUGGUGACCUUUAUGCUAGAGGCCUUUCUGCAAAUGGAGCGCGGACCUGGUUGGUUGACAUUAACAAUGAAACAUUGAAGCCAGCUUCCUGGGAUGAAUUGGCCGAUGAGAAGCCAAAACUUGAUUCCUGCUCUGACAUAACCAUCUACGAAUUGCACAUUCGUGAUUUUAGUGCCCAUGAUGGCACAGUGGACAUUGACUCUCGUGGAGGAUUUCGUGCAUUUGCAUACUAGGCCUCAGCAGGAAUGUUUGACUCAUGUGCAUUUGUUGCCAAGCUUUCAUUUUGCUGGCGUUGACGACAUUAAG